GCAAAUAAAAUUCUGGUUUGCGAAAGGUUUUACAAAAAAAUAAGAUUUUGUUAAGGUUUUAGGUUCAUGAAUUGAGAUUUGGGAAUCAGGGUUUUAGGGAUUUAAAGGAUAUAGGGAUGAGAAAUGAAAUGGGGCCCACAUGUGAAGGUCUGUACGGACACACGUGCCUGCGUGGAUGGGUAGGGAGAAAGAAGAAAAGGGAUGGAUUGGGUUUGGGUUUUAACAGGUUUAGAAAUGUUGUAAGGGAAGGGAAAUGGGGAAGAAAAGAGAAGAAGAGGACUACCUUGUUGGAGAAGAGAAAGAGGAAUGAUGUACAUUGGGGAAUCCACCACCAAACAAAUCUCUAUCCUUCCACAAUUCAAUUGGAAGGGAGGGUUUCUCACAAACCCUUAAAAAAAGAAGAAGAA